rnacentral:rRNA from 1 species
CUACGGGUGGCUGCAGUGGGGAAUAUUGGACAAUGGGCGAAAGCCUGAUCCAGCAACGCCGCGUGGGUGAUGAAGGCCUUCGGGUCGUAAAGCCCUGUCGGCAGGGACGAAACAGGAAGGUUCGAAUAGGACCUUCCUUUGACGGUACCUGCAAAGGAAGCACCGGCUAACUCCGUGCCAGCAGCCGCGGUAAAACGGAGGGUGCAAGCGUUGUUCGGAGUUACUGGGCGUAAAGCGCGUGUAGGUGGUCCUUUAAGUCCCAUGUGAAAUCCCCCGGCUUAACCGGGGAACUGCGUGGGAAACUGGAGGGCUUUGAGUUCGGGAGAAGAGGGCGGAAUUCCCAGUGUAGAGGUGAAAUUCGUAGAGAUUGGGAGGAACACCGGUGGCGAAAGCGGCUCUCUAGACCGAUACUGACACUCAAACGCGAGAGCAUGGGGAGCAAACAGGAUUAGAUACCCUUGUAGUC